CCUACGGGUGGCAGCAGUGAGGAAUAUUGGUCAAUGGACGAGAGUCUGAACCAGCCAAGUAGCGUGAAGGAUGACUGCCCUAUGGGUUGUAAACUUCUUUUAUAUGGGAAUAAAAUGUUCCACGUGUGGGUUUUUGUAUGUACCAUAUGAAUAAGGAUCGGCUAACUCCGUGCCAGCAGCCGCGGUAAUACGGAGGAUCCGAGCGUUAUCCGGAUUUAUUGGGUUUAAAGGGCGCGUAGGUGGAUUGUUAAGUCAGUUGUGCAAGUUUGGGGCUCAACCGUAAAAUUGCAGUUGAAACUGGCAGUCAUGAGUACAGUAGAGGUGGGCGGAAUUCGUGGUGUAGCGGUGAAAUGCUUAGAUAUCACGAAGAACCCCGAUUGGGAAGGCAGCUAACUGGACUGCAACUGACAGUGAGGCGCGAAAGUGUGGGUAUCAAACAGGAUUAGAGACACUUGUAGUC
rnacentral:rRNA from 1 species